GUGGUUGUCUGGCGUGGCGAGACAGCGGGGGCUGUGUGAGGAUUUGGGAACCGCGAGCGACGGUAAAAUUCACGAGCCCCCGGCGAGGCCAUUAUUCCCCGUCGCCGGCGGAAUCUUUCUCCUCCGGCGGGGGGCGGCGGCGGCGGCGGCGGCUGCCUCCCCGAGAAGGCAUGCGGCCCCCGACGAGGGCGCCGCGUAGUUUAAUAGGAACGGCAGAUUUAUUAUCCCUCCCUCCUCCUCGAGGCCUUCCGAUGGCCGCGGCGCCGCAGUAAUUGCGCCGAGAGAAAAGAGAGAGAUUUUCUCUUCUUCCUCUUCUUCUUCGUCUUCUGAGUCAGCCGACGAUACGAUCUUCUUGAAUCUCUCUUCCGCGGGGUGAUUGGUGGAGAGAUGGCUGAUGGGUUUGAUGAUUGGUGUCGCCAGUUCGUCGAUCCGGACGAGCCGUCCGAGAUUAGACAAGAACGCGGGCGUGCGACGUCGUCGGGAUCACGGGCGGGCGCGGAAGACGUCCGGCGAAGGCGUCGCCCUUCUCGGCCUAUGCGCCGUCGCGGGUGACCUCUCGUCUCUGACCUCGAGCCAUCGAGAAACCCGCAGGUCUCCUCUUCCUCUCAGAGACAGAGGAGAGAGAGAGGAUCGACGGAGACGGCGAAUCGGCUGCAGCGUGCGCUCUCGUUAAUCGCGGGGGAGGAGACCGCUGGGAAUAAAAUCUCGUCGGGAAUGGAGGGAGCUCGAGCGGAGCGCCACGGCGAGCUCUACGUCGUCGUCGCGCUCCCCGUAAACAACCUCCGCCAGCAAAGCCUACGUCUUUCUGCCCACGGCCCCUCAUCGUCUCUCUCUCUCAUCGCAGAGGGCAGAGGGCUGCCAUCGUCGUCAAGCACGGGACCCCGCCGGUAAAUUCCUCCUAUACCGCGGUGCGCACUCCGUGCAGCCCCCCUCUCCCCUCAGAACCGGACGUGAGCCCGGAGACGUACCUGCACCCUCCCCCCCCAGUUCAGAGCCACAGACAUCGAGAGCGACGUAGAGAGAGAGAGAGAGAGAGAGAGAGAGAGAGAGAGAGAGAGAGGAN
rnacentral:lncRNA from 1 species